rnacentral:lncRNA from 1 species
CUCUUCAGCCUCACUGUCAGCCCUGCUGUGUGACAGUAUCAGUUUUUGCGGGUGAAAAUACAUACCCAGAGCCUGAUUCAGACCACUUGAUGAUGCUUAACCUUCCUUGCUUUCCCUUCUUCCAGCCAUGAUCCCCUAACUCCUUCAGUUGUUCAUUGUGCUCAUGCCUGCCUUUAUCUCAGGUGUCUUCAUGAGCAGUCUGCAUGUGGCCUGUGUGUAUGGAUUGGUCCUAAAAUACUGCAUUAUCUAUUGAAUGGCUAAAAAGCCAAACAAAAAUAGAAAAAUUAUGGAGGCAGUUGGAAAUUGAUAGAAUACUCUGGAGAAAUUGGAGGAAAAUCUUUAGUGAUACCUGAAAAUUCAGAUGGAGAAUUUCAGAUGGUUGUCUUCAUUUGAAUAAUACAUGGAUAGGAAUUCAGCACUGAGACUCCUCAAACUAAAAGUGAGCAACGCUUAGUGGAGACAACAUGCACUCAGAAACUGCAAAACGAACUGUAAGAAGAAGGAAAGCUCUGGGAGUGUAAAAUCCCAGCUAAAAACGACACUGCAGUCAAGGAAAUGAGCACAUCUGGCUCCUUGAGUCCCAGCAGUGCUCCUGAGUGACCAUUUUGUGCUGGGAGAAGACGCAGCGAAACAAAGAGUUACGCCUGGAGAAGACCCUGUUCUGCAAAGUGCAGUACAAAAGCUUUUCUCACCACCUGCUUUUGAGGACUGUGCACCAGGAAAGAGCCCCUCCAGCCCAGUUUUCUGAAGGCAAACUGGUGCUUUCCAUGCUUGCAGGAAGAUGAAGGUCAUGGCAGUGGUACCCCAUGGGCCCUCCUUUCAGUUUCAUAGUACCUAGAAGGAGCAAGCAGCUCAGCUGGAUAAAAACACAUUGUUUCCUGUUCAAGGGAUAAAUAUGGCCUUUUGAAGAGCAGCCGUGGCUGAGUGCUAUAUAGGACUACAGAGAAUUAUCAACAGGCUUUUGCUUUAGCAAAUGUCAUGCUACCAGAAGAAUGGUGCAGUUUGUGGUGACAUCCAGCCAGUGCCCUCUCAUGAGGAAGAAUCAAUUUGCAAGGUAUUGAGUAAGUCCUUGGGCUCUGCUGAGGAGAGGUGACCACCCAUGAAAACAACUGACAUGAAAAGAAUGCAAGGGGAGCUGUCACCUUGGUGAAUGUGAAGAAACAGGAUCUGAGUGCAGAGAGUGGCUGUGGCUGUGUUUGAACUGCAAUGCAGGGACAGGCAGCUCCUGUUCUGGUCUCUGCAUCUGCCUGAUCCACGGACAGAACGUGUCUUUUUCCAUUUCCUGGCUGGAGGAGUCAAACCAACAUGCCCCAAACUGUGGCACGUGGUCUUACUGGUGAGUUGGGUGAAACAUAAAGAU